CUUCUUGACUCCCGUUGACUUUAACAAUAGCAAACCCAUUGUGCAUACAAGCUGCAAGGAUUAAUCCAGGAACAACAGAAUGAUUCUUAAUUCUCCAAACUCCACCUCCUAAACCAAUCGAUGCCUCAAUCACAGGCCUUUUAGUGAGAUCGAUCCAUCUGAAUGGCCUACUGAGAUCGAUGUGGCUGAAGGGUUCCAAUCCAAGCAUAGACACAUACAGGAGCUAAGUUUUUCGCUACUUACCUCUUUCAAAUCAUUCCCUACAUAUCAAUUAUUCAUCAAUUACAUAUAGCAUUUAGCAUUUGAUUAUAUCAAUUUAACGUACCAUUAAUGGAGCUUUGUAAGUGAUGAAUCUUCAGGAAACCAUCAGCAUCGGCUUGAGCAAGCAAUGGACGUGUUGCUGUUGUUGUUGUUGUGUUCACUGGGUUCCAUUUCAUAUCAAAGAUACCAGCUGUCUUCAAUCUGUAAAGCAAAUCGACUUUUCCCAAAUCGACAUUGAAAAGGGAAAUGCUUCCUGAUCUAGUUGGAUGAUCACCUUCUUGUAAUGUGUAUGUUGAAGCAGCUAGGACAUGGUGGAACGAAUCGUGGGGGCAAAACUCAACGACGUCGGCGUUUCCAUCUAAGUAGCAGUGUCCCACGUCCAUUGACCUAAUUCAUACGAGAAUAAAUCAGAUGUUGAAAGCUGGAAUACAGUCGUUUAAUAAGCAGAAGAGAGGAGGAAAUCAGAAGUUUAUUUAGUUUCGCUUGGACAUUUCAUCGAACAGAUUGUAGGCGUGAUGAUAUAUGAUUAUAUGAAAGAAUUCGGAAUUGUAACUACAAGGGAGCCAUAGUUGCGACCUCGAUAUGAAAGAUUCGAAGUUACAGAAGGCCCGAAAUCUACCGUUGAAUUAACAGGGAUGUAGUUGGCGUCGCCGGCGCCAAAGCAAAAUGUCGGCGCUCGUUGCGAAAAACUUUUGGGCAGAAAAACGAGAAUAUUGAGCUUCAGAAAACAUGGGCUUUCUACAAAUUGCUUAGUGGGCUUGAAACAACAUUGGUUGUUACCUGUUUCAUUAGAAACCGAUUUAAAAGGGAUGUUAUUUGCUGAAAUACAAGGGAUUUUAUGGCUGCUAAAUGGGCCUACUGCA